CUUCCACAAUGGACGACAGUCUGACGGAGCAACGCCGCGUGAGUGAUGAAGGUUUUCGGAUCGUAAAACUCUGUUGUGAGGGAAGAACNNGUACCGUUCGAAUAGGGCGGUACCUUGACAGUACCUAACCAGAAAGCCACGGCUAACUACGUGCCAGCAGGCGCGGUAAUACGUAGGUGGCAAGCGGUGUCCGGAAUUAUUGGGCGUAAAGCGCGCGCAGGCGGUUUCUUAAGUCUGAUGUGAAAGCCCCCGGCUCAACCGGGGAGGGUCAUUGGAAACUGGGGAACUUGAGUGCAGAAGAGGAGAGUGGAAUUCCACGUGUAGCGGUGAAAUGCGUAGAGAUGUGGAGGAACACCAGUGGCGAAGGCGACUCUCUGGUCUGUAACUGACGCUGAGGCGCGAAAGCGUGGGGAGCGAACAG
rnacentral:rRNA from 1 species